rnacentral:rRNA from 1 species
GAUGAACGCUGGCGGCGUGCCUAAUACAUGCAAGUCGAGCGAACAGACGAGGAGCUUGCUCCUCUGACGUUAGCGGCGGACGGGUGAGUAACACGUGGAUAACCUACCUAUAAGACUGGGAUAACUUCGGGAAACCGGAGCUAAUACCGGAUAAUAUUUUGAACCGCAUGGUUCAAUAGUGAAAGACGGUUUUGCUGUCACUUAUAGAUGGAUCCGCGCCGCAUUAGCUAGUUGGUAAGGUAACGGCUUACCAAGGCAACGAUGCGUAGCCGACCUGAGGGGUGAUCGGCCACACUGGAACUGAGACACGGUCCAGACUCCUACGGGAGGCAGCAGUAGGGAAUCUUCCGCAAUGGGCGAAAGCCUGCCGGAGCAACGCCGCGUGAGUGAUGAAGGUCUUCGGAUCGUAAAACUCUGUUAUUAGGGAAGAACAAAUGUGUAAGUAACUAUGCACGUCUUGACGGUACCUAAUCAGAAAGCCACGGCUAACUACGUG